rnacentral:rRNA from 1 species
AGCGAACGCUGGCGGCAGGCCUAACACAUGCAAGUCGAACGAAGUCUUCGGACUUAGUGGCGGACGGGUGAGUAACACGUGGGAACGUACCUUUUGGUUCGGAACAACUCAGGGAAACGUGAGCUAAUACCGGAUGAGCCCUUAGGGGGAAAGAUUUAUCGCCAAAAGAGCGGCCCGCGUUAGAUUAGCUAGUUGGUGAGGUAAAGGCUCACCAAGGCUACGAUCAAUAGCUGGUCUGAGAGGAGGAUCAGCCACACUGGGACUGAGACACGGCCCAGACUCCUACGGGAGGCAGCAGUGGGGAAUCUUGCGCAAUGGGCGAAAGCCUGACGCAGCCAUGCCGCGUGAAUGAUGAAGGUCUUAGGAUUGUAAAAUUCUUUUACCAGGGACGAUAAUGACGGUACCUGGAGAAAAAGCCCCGGCUAACUUCGUGCCAGCAGCCGCAGUAAAAC